CAGGUGGAUAAGGGGAUUGCGCUGCUGAAGGUGGUGGGUAUGGUUGCCCAUAUGGCUGUGGCGGGUAAGGUUGCUGCCCAUAUGGCUGUGGUGGGUACGGUUGCCCGUAUGGCUGCGGUGGAUACGGUUGUCCAUAUGGCUGUGGUGGGUGACUUGUAGGAGGACCUCCCUGCUGCGGGUAUGGCUGCUGAGGAGGCGGAGUUGGGUAUGGCUGCUGAGGAGGCGGAG
rnacentral:rRNA from 1 species